rnacentral:rRNA from 1 species
AUUGAACGCUGGCGGCAGGCCUAACACAUUGAAGUCGGGCGAGCCGCGGACGGGUGAGUAAUGUAUGGGCAUGUGCCUGAUGGAGGGGGAUAACUACUGGAAACGGUAGCUAAUACCGCAUACCAUCAGAUGAACCCAUAUGGGAUUAGCUUGUAGGUGAGGUAAAGGCUCACCAAGCCGACGAGCUCGAGCUGGUCUGAGAGGAUGACCAGCCACACUGGGACUGAGACACGGCCCAGACUCCUACGGGAGGCAGCAGUGGGGAAUAUUGCGAAAUGGGGGCAACCCUGACGCAGCCAUGCCGCGUGAAUGAAGAAGGCCUUCGGGUUGUAAAGUUCUUUCGGUAGCGAGGCGUUAACUACAGAAGAAGCACCGGCUAACUCCGUGCCAGCAGCCGCGGUAAUAC